rnacentral:rRNA from 1 species
GAUGAACGCUGGCGGCGUGCCUAAUACAUGCAAGUCGAGCGAACGGACGAGAAGCUUGCUUUUCUGAUGUUAGCGGCGGACGGGUGAGUAACACGUGGAUAACCUACCUAUAAGACUGGGAUAACUUCGGGAAACCGGAGCUAAUACCGGAUAAUAUUUUGAACCGCAUGGUUCAAAAGUGAAAGACGGUCUUGCUGUCACUUAUAGAUGGAUCCGCGCUGCAUUAGCUAGUUGGUAAGGUAACGGCUUACCAAGGCAACGAUGCAUAGCCGACCUGAGAGGGUGAUCGGCCACACUGGAACUGAGACACGGUCCAGACUCCUACGGGAGGCAGCAGUAGGGAAUCUUCCGCAAUGGGCGAAAGCCUGACGGAGCAACGCCGCGUGAGUGAUGAAGGUCUUCGGAUCGUAAAACUCUGUUAUUAGGGAAGAACAUAUGUGUAAGUAACUGUGCACAUCUUGACGGUACCUAAUCAGAAAGCCACGGCUAACUACGUGCCAGCAGCCGCGGUAAUACGUAGGUGGCAAGCGUUAUCCGGAAUUAUUGGGCGUAAAGCGCGCGUAGGCGGUUUUUUAAGUCUGAUGUGAAAGCCCACGGCUCAACCGUGGAGGGUCAUUGGAAACUGGAAAACUUGAGUGCAGAAGAGGAAAGUGGAAUUCCAUGUGUAGCGGUGAAAUGCGCAGAGAUAUGGAGGAACACCAGUGGCGAAGGCGACUUUCUGGUCUGUAACUGACGCUGAUGUGCGAAAGCGUGGGGAUCAAACAGGAUUAGAUACCCUGGUAGUCCACGCCGUAAACGAUGAGUGCUAAGUGUUAGGGGGUUUCCGCCCCUUAGUGCUGCAGCUAACGCAUUAAGCACUCCGCCUGGGGAGUACGACCGCAAGGUUGAAACUCAAAGGAAUUGACGGGGACCCGCACAAGCGGUGGAGCAUGUGGUUUAAUUCGAAGCAACGCGAAGAACCUUACCAAAUCUUGACAUCCUUUGACAACUCUAGAGAUAGAGCCUUCCCCUUCGGGGGACAAAGUGACAGGUGGUGCAUGGUUGUCGUCAGCUCGUGUCGUGAGAUGUUGGGUUAAGUCCCGCAACGAGCGCAACCCUUAAGCUUAGCUGCCAUCAUUAAGUUGGGCACUCUAAGUUGACUGCCGGUGACAAACCGGAGGAAGGUGGGGAUGACGUCAAAUCAUCAUGCCCCUUAUGAUUUGGGCUACACACGUGCUACAAUGGACAAUACAAAGGGCAGCGAAACCGCGAGGUCAAGCAAAUCCCAUAAAGUUGUUCUCAGUUCGGAUUGUAGUCUGCAACUCGACUACAUGAAGCUGGAAUCGCUAGUAAUCGUAGAUCAGCAUGCUACGGUGAAUACGUUCCCGGGUCU